rnacentral:misc_RNA from 1 species
UGGCUCUCGCAUCGAUGAAGAACGCAGCGAAAUGCGAUAAGUAAUGUGAAUUGCAGAAUUCAGUGAAUCAUCGAAUCUUUGAACGCACCUUGCGCUCCUUGGUAUUCCGAGGAGCAUGCUUGUUUGAGUGUCAUGGUCUUCUCAACCCUUCCGUCUUCUUCACCGGAGACGGUCGGGCUUGGAUGUGGAGGUCUUGCAGGCAUCUGGAUCUUUUGAUUCAGAAGUCGGCUCCUCUGAAAUGCAUUAGCUUGAAUAGUACCAAGCAUGAUUCAGCGUGAUAAUUGUCUACGUUGCUUCAUCUCGGUGAAUUUAAUGUUCAAGCUUCCAACCGUCCCUCGGGACAAUCUCUGAACAUCUGACCUCAAAUCAAGUAGGACUACCCGCUGA